AUUCCGUAAACGAAGUAAAUUACUCAGAAAACCCUAAGAAUAUUGCUUAAUUACAACCCAACCAGGGCAAAUGGAUCCUAAAAUAAUCCAAGUCCACUGUUUUCGGGUCAAAUCCAAAUAAAACCCUAAUUCCCCUAAUUCUCUGCGGUAAAAUCGAUUCACAUCUCUUUUCCUUUGUUUCUUCUUUAUUUCUUCACUGUAAAAUCCAGUAAAAUCAUUCUCAAUUCUCGUCAACGACAACAAUAUAACUGUUCGUCGAUCUUGGUAUAUCUACAGGAAACUAAGAAAUUGGGGUAAGUGAUUUAACUGUUCGUCGAUUUGAUUCGAGUUGUUUCAGAUUGGGUUUUGUGAUCGAAAUUGAUUGAAGAGUAGUGCUAAUCCAAAUGAUUUUGUUUGUAGGUUUGGAGAAAUGGCUCGAACAAAGAACGCAUGUGUGCCGUUGGCGGUGGCGUCCGCGGCGGAGGUGGUGGUUUCACAGACAAUCAAUGACGAAGUAGUAGUAGCGUCGGCUGUUGAAGUGGAUUCUGAAGCAACAAAUUCAAUCUCUAACGACGAUAGAGCGGUAUGAACUUUAAACUUUACACAAUUAGAAAAGUAUAACUAUGUAUGAAUUUGGUAUAUCUUUGUUGAUAUUGUAACUUAGA
rnacentral:sRNA from 1 species